UACGGAGGGGGCUAGCGGUGUUCGGACUUACUGGGCGUAAAGCGCACGUAGGCGGAUUGAUAAGUCGGGGGUGAAAUCCCGGGGCUCAACCCCGGAACGGCCUUCGAUACUGGCAGUCUUGAGGACGGUAGAGGCUAGUGGAAUGGCGAGUGUAGAGGUGAAAUUCGUAGAUAUUCGCCGGAACACCAGUGGCGAAGGCGACGGGCUGGAACGUUACUGAGGCUGAGGUGCGAAAGCGUGGGGAGCAAACAGG
rnacentral:rRNA from 1 species